rnacentral:rRNA from 1 species
GAUCAUGGCUCAGGAUGAACGCUAGCUACAGGCUUAACACAUGCAAGUCGAGGGGCAGCAUGGUCUUAGCUUGCUAAGGCCGAUGGCGACCGGCGCACGGGUGAGUAACACGUAUCCAACCUGCCGUCUACUCUUGGACAGCCUUCUGAAAGGAAGAUUAAUACAAGAUGGCAUCAUGAGUUCCNCAUGUUCACAUGAUUAAAGGUAUUCCGGUAGACGAUGGGG